UACGAAGGGGGCGAGCGUUGUCCGGAUUUAUUGGGCGUAAAGAGCUCGUAGGUGGUUCGGUAAGUCGGAUGUGAAAUCUCCAGGCUCAACCUGGAGGGGUCAUUCGAUACUGCCGUGACUAGAGGUCGGUAGGGGAGUGUGGAAUUCCUGGUGGAGCGGUGAAAUGCGCAGAUAUCAGGAGGAACACCCGUAGCGAAGGCGGCACUCUGGGCCGAUACUGACACUGAGGAGCGAAAGCGUGGGGAGCGAACAGG
rnacentral:rRNA from 1 species